rnacentral:rRNA from 1 species
CCAGCUCCAAUAGCGUAUAUUAAAGUUGUUGCCGUUAAAAAGCUCGUAGUUGAACCUUGGCCCUGGCUGAUCUGUCCUCCUAAUCGAGCGCACGGAUUCGGUCGGGGCUUUCCUUCUGGGGAGCCCCAUGCCCUUCACUGGGUGUGGCGGGGAACCAGGACUUUUACCUUGAAAAAAUUAGAGUGUUCAAAGCAGGCCUUUGCUCGAAUACAUUAGCAUGGAAUAAUAGAAUAGGACAUCGGUUCUAUUUUGUUGGUUUCUAGGACCGCUGUAAUGAUUAAUAGGGACAGUCGGGGGCGUCAGUAUUCAAUUGUCAGAGGUGAAAUUCUUGGAUUUAUUGAAGACUAACUACUGCGAAAGCAUUCGCCAAGGAUGUUUUCAUUAAUCAGUGAACGAAAGUUAGGGGAUCGAAGACGAUCAGAUACCGUCGUAGUCUUAACCAUAAACUAUGCCGACUAGGGAUCGGACGGUGGUUUUUUUAUGCCCCGUUCGGCACCUUACGAGAAAUCAAAGUUUUUGGGCUCGGGGGGGAGUAUGGUCGCAAGGCUGAAACUUAAAGAAAUUGACGGAAGGGCACCACCAGGCGUGGAACCUGCGGCUUAAUUCGACUCAAC